GAAAAGACGAGCAAAACUCCGUGGUUCAACAGCUAAAGAGCAAUUUGAUGGGACUGGGAUGGGGAAAUUACUUGAUUAGCGUCCGUCGGAGGAGAGCACGGUUACAGCCCCUCAGCUUGGAAUCCAACUGCGGAACAAAACGCGCUGGUAAACGCGGCGACCUGAAGGGACAACGCGCUAGCGAGGGUGGCGCGGGGACCGGCACUGACACGCGAGCGACCGUGGGGGGCGGUAAUAGUGGGCAAAGUGGCUGACCUACUUAGCCACUCCCCAAAGCGACAGGAGCUGUAACAGCUGUCCCACCUAGGCUUCUAGGCCUAGCCCGGGCGGGCAUGACUUCCCCAGCUGAUGUUGGAGGUCCGCCCUAAUUUACACUCUCCCGACUCCGGCCGGGGAGAAGAGUGUCAAGGCUUGUGAGAAGGGAAAGGUCCUCCCACAUCCUCCGGGGAGUCCCCUCGGUGGCUCCUGGAGCGUAGUCUACUACUCAGCAGCCUCUGCAGCGGCCCCAAGUCCGUUGCUAGGGCGCACGGCUCUUCAACCAGAAACUCUGAGGUUCGGUUUGCACAGGCAGUGAACUUUGGAUCGCCUUAAGACCGCUUUUCCUGAACCGCGGAAUUUAACCGCUUGGUUCCAACCUCUUAGAAAAGCUGCCCUUGUGGCCUUAGCACUUGGCAGAAAGAGGGGUGCGGGGGGGGGUCUGCAGUCCACCCGGAAGAGGUGGGGAGUUGAAAGGGGGCACUCCAAUUGAGGAUGACCCGCCUGGAGGCUCUCGAGGUGAGCUAAGUGCGGCGCCAGGGACUGCACGAUCGCCUUAGUGUUAAGGACCGCCUGGAGCUGGCGCCAGAGGGAUGCAGAGGUCAGUCCCAGACUUGCCCUGGAUCCGGAUACGCAAGGCCAGAUCUGGAGGUUUGGGAAGUCGAGUCCUACGUUUUUCUCCUCAGUUCCAGAGGACAGCAUCCAAGGCUCACAGCCCAGAUUUGUAUUGGGGGUGGGGGGUGGUGGUACACUGGGGCUCUUGGAUAGACUUUUAUUGAUGAGGAAGAAAAGCUGUCCUAUGGAGCUCGGAGGCUAAGGGUUCUCAGAACGAGGCCAAAUGCCCAGUGAAAUCCUCUGCUUCCCCAACAACCCAUAGUAGCUGGACAGCCCAUGUCUUCCCAGACUCCACCGACUCUGCCCCAAGCGCCAGCCCAAUACAGAGGAAUUUGAGGCUCUUGGAACCUUACCAAAAGGCCCAGACCCAUAGCUCCCUUCUCCCUUGCUCCUCCCAGACCCACCAAAAGGGGAAAGCUCCCCAGUAGGUCACUAACCUCCUAGUAUAACUGGCCCACCAAAAGAUUCCUUCUUGCUCCUGCCAGCAAUGGGGGUGCGCCAGGGAAAGGCACCAGGAUCCCGCCUUCAGUUUAUCUUGGAGAGGAAGAAUCUAAUCCACCUUCCCCGAAGUACAUAAACACAAAUCUAACAAAGCAAAGCUCCAAAGGACAUGUUUGCCAAAACUGUCUUAAACACACUUUGCCCCUUGGCAUGAAGGAACCAAGAAGCAAAGACUAUUUUUUUUUUUGAGUGCGGGGGUGGGGAUGGAUGGCCCCAUCCGCAGAACAAUUGUCACUCAGUUGAACAGCGUCAAUUAAACCAGAGCAAAACGGUCAACUUCAGAGGGCUUAAAUUUUUUUUUUCUAAAAUGUCUAUGGUGGUGCGUGUUCAGUGAACUAAUGUUCUCUGCUCGCUUCUAGUCUUCUCCUCCUUCCCAUUCCACUAGGGCCUGAUGCCCCAAUGCAGCUUUCUCCUUUGGCUGUCUAGGUGGACCCUUGGGGUCGUGGAUCCCAGACUGGCUCUAGCCGCUAGAGAAGAAAAAGCCUUGCUGGAGAGCGUGAAGUUUUGCUGGCGGUGGCGGUAGUGACAAGGCUCUGAGGAGGAGAGACCUGGGACCGGAAGGGCGAGACACCGCUAGUGAAGCCCAGACCUGUAGCAGUCCUCGAGCACACUAACUCUUCAAGGCGACCUAGCUGGACAGAGAACUCUAUGUCUUCUGCCCCGCACUGUCUUUCUCUGAUGAAUGCUUAUGCACCUGUGGUUCGAAGCGCUUCCUGGGGCGACCAAAGCUGUGCAUUUUAAUUCCAAAGUCAAGUGAUUGAGCCCUGUCAAAGUUGGGAGAGGGAAACACGAUGGAGACUGCUCAGAGUUGGCUUUAUAGUUAUUUUUGCAAGUUCUGCCCGGUACCCACAGUAUUGGCCAGAAAAGCAAAAGAGGCCGCUGCAAUUUAUUCCAAUGGGCGGUUUUUAAGAAGCUGGCAAUUUGAACCGGCUGGGUGUUAUUUAGUGCAAUAUGAAAUCAAAUGAUCCUAUUUCUCAAAUAACAGUGUCUGUGAGGAGAAGUGAAUCCUCUGAAAGGGUAAUUGUCUGCUGAUGGUGUUUCCCAUUAUACCCGAUCUUGGCCUAAAUGAUGCUGGGCGGCAGGGCGGAGAGUGAGGGGUGAAAUCAAAGCACGCAACUCGGGCUCCGGAGGAAGAAAAGGUCCCUCUAGAUCGCUUACCCACAAGUCUAGCGCACAAUGCGGCCGAUUGCAUCACCGAUUUGGAUGCUAUUCUGCAGAUCUCCGACAUCAUCAAACUGAAGUGAUCUUGGGAAUAAGAGAAUAAAACUGACUCUCUUUUCGAAA
rnacentral:lncRNA from 1 species